AGCCUACGACAAGGAACUUGCUGCCUCCCAGAUCCACCACACGAACCUGCAGCUGGGGGACGGUCGCACCAGAUUCUCCACCUGGACAUCAGAGCUCUUCCCACCGCACGAUCUAGGUAGGGUAAGUCUGUGACACACAGGCAACGCAUACAGACCUCUACUGAGGUUUAUGACAAGCUGAACAGUAGGUUUUAUCACUUGGUUUCAGUGAUAUAAUUAUAGAUAAAGACAUAAUGCAUUCAUAUAAUAUGUAUAUAAUUUUAUAUUUUUAAUGUUUCAAAGUUUUUCUGUACUCAGCACCAGUGUUAUCACUGUGAGGCUCUGUUUCAUCCUCCCUCCACUUCACUGGCAGGUUAAAUACCUGUAUUCAUCCCUGCGCUGUAUUGCAUGGGGAGAAGCUGCUGUAGCUACAACUUGUUCGGAGACUGGAGUGCUCUGACAUCCUUCACUCUCGUUUUUGCCAGAGCCUGUACCUAUUGUCCGUCCAAACAAAAAUGCCUCGUCCAUCCCCAGAGGUGAUGAAGACCCAGAGAGAAAUCAAGCGUUGACAAGAAUCACUACUACGCAGCUCUCCUACCCAGAGGUCUGUUCCCAGCUUUGCUGUGCGGGUGUUUCUCUGGCGGAGACCCUCUCUUUUUUUAUGUACCCUACUCUGGCACCUAAAGGCCAGAGUUGUCCUUCUGUUGUCCCUUCUCCCCUCCCCACGCUGGGCUCUGCAGGGUGCAAUGUGCAACAGGGUGCCUUUCCCACCUAGAGCUCGUUUCUGUUAAAGCAGCUCCUGUGUUCUCCAGACGGACAGGUGGAACCUCGCGCCGAAGCCUGACUUGCUGAAGCAUCAAAGCAACAUCUGCCUGGGAGAUGAGCGUUCAGGCUCCUGCUUCUUCAGCACAACGCAGCAGGCAGACUAUCAGCCGCCCCGCCAGAGCCAGAGGGUGAUGGCAGACAGCAGGAGCCACCGUGAGAGCCACAUCCCCUUCAACUACCACGCAGAUGAAAGUUCUGUCACAACCACGCAGGCCAUGCUGGUCCCACACAGGCAGCAGAAACAACGACUCUCCGAAGACAAGUUACAGCAGAUCAAACGCUCACACCUGGAUCUACCCUGGAGGGCACGGGACCUCUUCAGGACUGAGCAGAAAGACGAGUUCACGCCCAAGUCCAGAGGCCCAGCAGAAAUCCAAAAGGCAAACUGCCAAGUGAGCUGCGUGCCCCUGGGGACCCUGAAAGGAUACUGUCCCCAGAGGAAGGUGCUCUUCGCAGAAUGAUCUUCUCCCUUCUUCGGUGACCGCCCAGAACUUGCUGCGCUGUGGACUGCUGACACGUCGCGUUACCUGUUAGCCGUCCUGGUGCCUUGCUCUUGGCCCAUCUGUGUGUUAUUACAGGGAAUGUUUAUUUCCCGAGUUGAAUGAGGAGACAAGAAGGUGUUGUGACAGCAAGAAUAAACACAGGGAGAUUAGCCCA
rnacentral:lncRNA from 1 species